rnacentral:lncRNA from 1 species
GCGAGAAAUAAGAGGAAGAAAGAAAAGGAGGGAGACACAUUACAUAUCUUGUUAACUUCAUCAUGUGUGUUUAUUUACUAGAUAUUUAAUUUAAUUUGAUGCAGUUUCAGCUGUAUUGAUUCGGUCAGGUUGUGUGCCCAAACGCGUGCCAAACGCGCUCAUCAGAUCAGAUAUAGAUCAGAAUAUAUCGAUAUAGAUCUAAAUGUAUGUGCUGACUCAGAUUAAUAGUUGUUGAUGAUUAUUUAUUGCACUGAAAUCUGCCUGACACUGUGGAAACCUGCCGGUGAGGCAUCAGUGACGUAUGUCGAUACGCGGCCGGUCUACCAAAAUACUACUAGACCAGCUGCGUUCCGCCUUGCGCUGAAAGCUGACCAGGUUUGAAUCGGCGAGCUUUCAGCGCACGUUACACGCCGGUGGCGAGCACGAAAAUGUCACUGCGCCAGCUGAUUCUGUCAACACCUCCCCCUGCCACGCCACCACGCCCAGCUUGGCGGAUCUCGGCUCGCCUCCGUGCGACUCAGUCCACGAAAAUACCAAACUCGCCUUACGCCGGGCUCUGCCAGACGAAAAUACAACUGCGCGGGGCUCGCCGCCCUCCGCCGCCUCACCGGCGCGAACGAAAAUAGAGCCCGCUGUUGUGACAUGAUUGAGAGUUGUUAGUGGUUUAUGAGGAUUUGAUAGUAACAGUGCAGAGGUGUUUGAUAAUGUGACUCUAUGAGUCAAAGUGGCUGAUUUUCUGUCUUUUUCAUCACAAGAUAUGGAAUAGGAAGUCUGCAGCUUAUUGAUUAUAUUUUACUGAUAGUCUGCACGAAUGUAGGGACCUCGAGCUCAAACAAACAUGGCAUCACGUUUAAGCCCAUGAGCAGAGGUUUCCCUUCUCACCCGCAAGUCUGCAUCACUAUUUUUCAUGAUCAUAAAUGUUCAUUAAAAGCUAAGUAAGGUAGAUGAGGCCCCAUAUCAAUUUCCAUAUAAAGCCAGAAGCCAAAUGAAUCCUGUUGAAAAAUAAUGAACAUAUUCAAGUCUUUAGAUCACUAUCAUGAUAACACUGGCAGCUGUAGUUAAUAUCUGACUUUGAAAUUAAAUCCCUAAUAACUACAGCCUUCACUCUUUCUGCUAAACAACCUCAGCUUCAUGUUUACUGUCUCUGAGCCAAAGGUGGAGCAUCUUUAUCACUGAUUCUGGACAAUCUUGACUGGGUUUAUCCUCUACUCUGUUCAUGUCUUUAUGUUUCUAGUAUCUCUCACCACCACCAGCAGCAACAACAACAGCAGCAGGCCUGGUUUCUGGUCUGCUUUCUCUUUUUCUUUGUCCUGCUCUGCCCCCUUUCUGUUCUCUGCUCUUUAAUUUUCUCUCUCAUAUUUCACAGUGAUGAAUUGUCCUGUAAUACAGUAAUUCUGGCCCAUUUUGUACGCCAUACUUCAGUUACUGCCACCUGAUGAUGGUUACACUGUGCAGCCUCUGUCUCUUUCUCUCUCACUCUCACACAGUUCUCAGGACUCUAUGAACCGCUCUUAAAAACCUCAGGUGUUUGUAUCAUGAUGUUUUGGGUCAAACUUUUACUACACCUUGUUUUGUUGAGUUCAAAUGUCUCCAAAGAUCUUUGCUUUGACAAGUUCUUACCAGCACUUUUUUUUUUGGCUUGUGUGACCUUGUUUAAACAGCAGGUUUUGAAUCCCUGACUCUGAACAACCUCGGUCAAUAAGCUAGAAAGUCUAAUAGAGUAUUGAAACAUCCUAAUAUUAAAAAAACAAACUUACAUGUCUAUUUAUUAUGCAAAACUAAAAAGGAAGAAGAAAGGACAAUUUAAACACAAGAGCUUUGGCUUUAUUUUGAUGAUAAUAUUCAUGAAAUUGAAUAAAAGAUUUCACCUUUUAAAGAGAAUUUACACACUGUGUUUGUUCAUAAAAACAAAAGGAUUUGAGCUCUACCACCACCAACAUUUUGUCUCAGUCUGCAGAUUGGACUUUAACUCAGCUUUUUCCAACACUGCAUCUUCAUAACCUAAAAAUACACACACCUCUGUCCUCCUGCUCCUCUCCCUGUUCUCCUCUCUGAACCUCCUGCUCCUCUCCUUGAAUGAAGCGCUUCAACCAAGAGGUUGCUACAAGUCUGGUCUCUCUGUAUUGACUGUGGACAGACGGGACUGUGCUGCUGAAAACAUAUGAGGACAGUAUGAACAUUGACAGACAGACUGACUGCUUUACUGAAUACAUCAACUUCUGCAGAGACACAGUUAUACCUACGAAGACUGUUUGCUGUUUCCCCAACAACAAACCCUGGAAUAGACUGUAUAAAGAAUGGACAGAGUUUGCCUCCUCGCUGGGUGAAGCCACUCUGAGAACAGCACCCUCUGUUGAUGGGCUGCAGUAUAGGUCAUAAAUCCCGCCUCUGCCAGCAAAGCUUAUGGGGCUGUGGACAAACUUUAGAAAUUUAUUACACAGAAUAUACAUUUUUCUCCCCCCUGGUUGUGAUGUUGACAUGUAGUUACAGUAAGACUGGUUUGUGCCCAAGUCCUUUUUUUUCUGUACAGCUCCGUUUUUAAAAGUUAUUGGGGGGUUCAUGUUUUCUAUGAUUGACACCUGGUACAGCCUAUGGGCGUUCAGGGAUUGCAUAGCUCUCUUGGGGGAUUCGCUGUUUGAGCCGAGCGUCAUCACAGCGACUCUCAGCGACUGCGCGCCCAAAUGCGCACAACGCUACUGCGCAGCGCUGGUUUCAGGAAAUGAAGAAAAAUCACGGAAAUACCGAGAGCUAUUUGGCUUCAAAUCCAUAUACAGGCGGUAGGCGGAACCAAGUUGUCCAUAGUAUAUACAGUCUAUUAUCACAAGUGACAUAAAAGCAAUCCUUAACCAGAAAAAGAAAGCUUUUAAAGAUGGUGACAGAGAACGACUCAAGUACAACAAGAGUUGAAGAGGAGAAUGAAGAUGGCCAAGCUGGAGUACAAAAAGAAGAUAGAGAGGAAUCUACAACACAGCAACAUCCAUGAAGUGUGGAGAGAAAUCAGUACUAUCUCAGGACACAGCAAUAAAAAGAAAAGAGCCAGUGGUGGGUGAUGUAGAAAGAGCUGAUGAACUCAAUCUGUUCUUCAACAGAUUUGACACUGCUGUCACACCCACUGCACAUCCACUUCUACUCCACCUUCCUCUCUGCAACAAAUCUCCACUACAACUUCUCCCCUUCCUCCUCAAUCUUGUUCAAAUGUCUCAACCACUUCAACUGACUCCCUUCAAGAACAUCAGUCCUUGUCUGUCACAGAAACAGGGUCUGACGUUGGAGCUUAGAAGACUUUACCCUGGGAUGGCAGAUGGUCCAGAUGGUGUGUGUCCAAGGCUGCUUAGAGACUGUGCUGCAGAACUGUGGCAACCUCUCCACAGGAUCUCCAACCUGAGUCUACAGCUGGGGCGGGUACCUACUCUGUGGAAAACAUCCUGCAUUGUGCCAGUACCCAAAACAAAAUGUCCUGCUGAACUCAAUGACUACAGACCAGUGGCCCUCACUUUACAUAUCAUGAAAACCCUGGAGCGGCUGCCUCUACGCCUUCUGAGGUCUGAGGUCAAAGACAAACUGGAUUCCCUGCAUUUUGCAUACAAAAAACCACAUUGGAGUGGAUGAUGCUGCCCUCUACAUGCUUCACCGUACUCUGUCUCAUCUGGAGGUUGAAGGUUUUUUGUAAACCUUCAGAUAAUUUUAACCAGGAUCAUGCUGAGAUGAAUCGCUCAGAGAUAUUUUGCAGCCUUCGAAUUGUCACAGCUUUUUUUAGAAUCUGUAAUGGAAAGUUAUGAAGUCCUAAGUCACUCAAAUAGAAAGGAAAACAAUACCUUUCUUUUGCAAAGGCAGCAAAGGCCUCAGAAAAGAUCCUUUUAAUGUUGUUCAGUGUCAUCCAAGAAGUUUCAAACUGGUAUUAAACAUAGAAAGAACAAAGCUCAUUGCUUUUUAAACUCAAGUGAGUUACAAGGAAAAAUCUCCACUAUUGUGACUCAACAAGGAAAGCCAAUAGAGCUGGUCUCCAGCUAUAAGUACCUGGGUUUUCUUCUGGACCAUGAGCUUUCUUAGGAAGCACACAUCGCAGGAUUAGUCACCAAACUCAGGGUAAAGCUUGGGUUUUACUUCCAAAACAAACCUGCUUAUUACUUAGAGUCAGGAAACUGCUUGUAUCAGCGAUGUUUCCACCUUUGCUUGACUAAGAAGAUGUGCUGUACAUAGGUGCUUUGUUGAAAUACCUUCAGUCCUUGUGACAGCCCCUGGGUAAAUGUUUAGACUGGAGAUCUGACAUAGCUGUUGUCUUCAGAGGACAGGAGUGGCUGAUUAAAAUCUGCUCUGAUAUGGAGCACCUGGGCUUGCUGCUCCACCCAUUACAUACAUAUACUGGCUCUGUCUGCUUGGCUCUGUCUGCUCUGCCGCUCACCUUUCUGCUCUGCUGUCUGCAGAUCCCCAUGCACAUGUCAUUUAGUUACUUUUGUCAGUGCACCUUUCAACACCUCGCACCACGUCAUUCUCACACACCCACAUGCACACUACUGAUAUUAGACUAACACACCCCAUACCUGUAGUUUUUGUUCGCUUGCUUUACUUGAAUUUGUAAAUAAAUUAAUUUACUUUUGUUUAACAUGCACUCCUCUCGUCCUUUUGUCAUGGCCAUCGAGCCAGGUUAUGACACUGUUUACCACAGCACCUUGAGGUUUAUCACUGGUGAUGGUUUGUGUUACACAUCAUUGUGAAUUGUAUGUGAAUACUGGCUGGCCUUUAUUAAGUGCACACAGGAAUACGCACUGGCUGACCCUGAUGUAUAAGGCUCUGCUCAGCUUAGUUCCAUCUCAUGCUUUUCUUCAGAGAACUAAAAGCCACUGUGCCUUGCACUCCUGUGACGUUCUCCACCUCUCAGUUCCUUACUUUAGAACUGAACUGCACCCACAGUGUGGAACUCUCUGCAGACUGAACUGAGACUCUUAGAGCUUAUUUCACUUGGGGCCUUUUGCUUUAUGCUGAUGGAUAGACAGUAAGCCUGCAUGAUAUAGGAAAAAACUAACAUUGCAAUUUUUUUCAACCCUGUGACAUAUAUUGUGAUAUUUAAAAAUACAGGAAUGUUCACCAGAUGACCUGAAUAGCACUUUAUGCUAUGCUGCAAAGACGAAAUCUUGUGGACAAUUAAUCUGCACUGAUCUUACCUCUUUUUGUGAAUGCUAGAAGAAUGGCUUCUGUCUGUCGUAGAGAUGUUUUUAGCUUGCUUUUAUUGUGCUGGGAGCUUAUUGUGGCAACAGAUGAAAGGCCCUGCUGAUAAAGACCACAUGUUUGGUCGACUUCAUUCCUCUUGUAACCGAAAUAGUUCCAGAUAACUGGUAUUCCUUUUCCUUUUGGCCACAAGUCUUCAUUUUCUGUGGUUUUCUCUUGUUCGUUGCUCAUUUUGCAAUCGUUGUUGCUACCAGUGUUGUGCCAAGAAUCGCAUGCCUGCCGAGGAUUGCAUGCGCCUCGCAAAACGCACACCGCUUAUAGUAGAGUGGUUCAUGGAAAUGUACAACUUAAAACCCAUACAAUUCUUAUUUGUUGGGCUAAACAGUGAUGAGUAAUGGUCCGAAAGUAAUUCUUGGCAGGCAUGCCUUUCUCAGCGCCAGCGACUCAUGCCAUGUGCAGGCCAUGUGCAGGGCAUGGUUUCCUCCUCUCUGAUUCUGACUGACAGCUGGCAGGGUAGUCUGAUUGGCAACUGAGUAAAGAACUAAUGUGAUUGGUGGAUUGCUGCACAGCACAUGCAGUCACAUGCAGUGUAUCUCAGUCAGCUCCUCUUGAAGUUAGAUAAGUUCAUUCGCCUCCGACAUUGCAGACUCAUCGCUCACACGUACAUCGCGAUAACUAUGCUCAAACGAUAUGUCGUGCAGCCCUUAUAGACAGUAUGACACCAUUGAACAGUGCUUGUGCUUGUUAUUUAUAUUAAAAGCUUCUUGAUCUUGAGAUCUUGAUCUUGAUGUUGUGAGAAGUUGGCCACUUUUUUUAUGGACCCUAACCGUAACCCUGAUGUCUUUUUAUUUAUUUAUGUAUUUUAAUUUGGUUAAAUUAAGUUGAAUAAAUACAUUUAAAAAAAACAUUUUAAAAAAUUGUUUGAAUUUUGCCACAGCUGAUUGCCUGUUGAAAGUCUGUUUUCAUUUCUUUAAGCUUCAAGAACACCUUUUUUUAAUUGCACGUUGGAUAUACAGCAUAAAUGCUCAUAAUAUGAUGAUAUAUCCAGAGCCCAGGCUUUCCUCUUCACCCCCCUCUUCACUCCCUCCUCUUCAGCCUUUCAUCCUGUUUCUUUUCCCUUGGUUGCAAUCUGUUGGUGUUUAUUACAGCUGGCCCUCCUCUCCACACCACCAUCAGAGAUGUUCUCACAUAAAAGCUGCGUUAGCGGGAUGCAGAGACACAUGCAUGCCACAGAUGUCUCCAGACCCUCUAAGACAUACUGACAUAAAUGCUCAGAAGGUACAAUCAGCUCUUUGUGAGGAGGCCAUGUGAAAGCUGCUACCUGAGGAGGAAAGAAGAGGAGAAGGAGAAGGAGGGCUGAUAACAGGCAGAAAUGAAGUAGCUGGACACUUGUUACAGUUUUUAAAAAAUCUAGAACCCUAUUGUGUUUCCUCUGAAGCGUCCAAGCUGUAAAAUCUUAAAAAGAGAAAAGACAAAAGAGAGAAAGGAGAGAUGGAGGACGGAGGGACAACAAAGAAGUGAAGGACUGAGAAGAGGCCAGAAAAUUUAAUCAAUGGAUUCAUUGUUAACAGAGCUGACCCCCUCCAGCCUUCCCUCCACUCCCAACUCCAUUCCUCUCUGCAGCAGCUCAAAGUCCCUGUUUGUGUGUUAGCCCCUAUAUCCUUCCACCUCGGGUUUCAGCUAACAGCACUAAACAGAUGUUUGUGGAAGUGAUGCCCUGAGACACACCAAGUUCAUCGUCUCUCCAAUUGUUCUUCACACAAAGAAGGAAAGAGUUCAACCAGAGCCAUUGUUUCGAUUCUGCAGUUAGCAUGUGUUUCAGUCAUCAACAUUGUUUUUAUAUUGAAUUACAGUAUAUAACAAUGACUGACCAGUCAGGUCACAAUGUCAAGUAUGGUGUGAAUAUGACUUUUGUUAUAUUUAUGGAUUGAAAUUCUGGAUUAAGAAUAACAUUUUGAAAUUUGAAGGAACAGAAAAUUCAAUAGAAAUAACAAUAGGGGAGAGAUUUAACAGAAGUCAAACACAAGACAAAGAUAUACAUAAAUAAAUCAAGUUAUUAUUAUUAAUGAAGAAGCAACCCCUGCUGGCUCUGCUGGUACAUCCUCUGAUGCUUCUAUAAUUACAACUCUUCUAACAGUGCAAUCAAGCUUGCAGCAUCUCCUGCAUUUUCUGCAAAGGGAAAUAUUUUGUUGUAAAAUUGAAAUUCUUUAUUAGGAGUAGCCCAUAGAAUUUAAUGUCUUAUUCCCAAGGAGAUCCUUACAAACAGAAAUGGACAAGCAAACAGGAAUGGAGGAGACAUUAAUCACAGCACAAAGCAAUGACAAGAUAAACAAAACAGAUCACAUCAAAUCAUGAUGCAAAACCAGGAAGAAAGUCAAUUUUUAACUGCUGGAUAGAAGAAACACACUGAAUACUGAAUAUAAGCGGGACUACAGGAACAGACACAAAGCUGUGCUGAGUGUUUUAGCUGAUGGUUAGAUGAGGACUGUACCAAAAAUGGUUUUAGAUAAAGUAAUGAAUAAAAAUGUAAGUAUUUAUUGUUUUUUUUUAUUAUUAUUAUUUUUUUGUCAUUAGACUACAGCCAACAGUGCUGCCUUUCUAUUGACGGAGAAAAGUAAGUAAAGCUUUUCAUAGAUGACACUAAAUCUACAGUCUGCUAUACAAUCCUUGGCCUAUCAGCUAGCUCCAAUGCUAAUUGGCCUGCUACUCUAGCAGGGUUUUGCUUUGAAGCCGGUUGAGUGAAAAGUUUUUUUCUUAGAUUUCUGAGAUCAACUGAGAGUGUGAGAUCUGACUUUAUUUCUGAGGCAAAAGUUCAAUUCCCUCUUUGGUAGAGAUUGAUGCAGCAAUGAGCAAACAGGAACGGUAUGGCAGUAAAGAAACAAAACAGUAACAAUGAGGUGAAAAUUUGCCUUAACAUUUGUUUUAACACUAUGGGCUCUAUUUUCGUGUCCGCGAGUGAGGUGGCGGAGGGUGGCAGACCCCGUGCAGUGUUAUUUUCGUCUGGCGGAGCCCGGCGUACAGCCAGUUUGGUAUUUUCGUGGACUGAGGCACACCGAGAUCCGCCAAGCUGGGCGUGGUGGCGAGGCAGGGGGAGGUGUCGACAGAAUCAGCUGGCACAGUGACAUUUUCGUGCUCGCCGGUGGCGUAUGAAGUGCACCGAAAGCUCGCCGAUUCAAACCGGGGUCAGCUUUCAGCGCAGGUCGAGCACAGCUGGUCAAGAGGUAUUUUGGUAGACCGGCGGCGUAUCGGCAUACAUCACUGAUGCCUCACCGGCAGGUUUCCACAGUGUCAGGUACAUUUCAGUGCAAUAAAUAAUCAGCAACAACUACUAAUCUGAGUCAGCACAUACAUUGAGAUCUAUAUCGAUAUAUUCUGAUCUAUAUCUGAUGAGCGCGUUUGGACACACAACCUGACCGAAUCAACACAGCUGAAACCGCAUUAAAUUAAAUUAAAUAUCUAGUAAAUAGACACACAUGAGGAAGUCAACAAGAUAUGUAAUUCGUCUCCCUCCUUUUCUUUCUUCCUCUUCCUCUUAUUUCUCGCGCAGCUCGACCUGGACAUGUCUCCAUGUCCUCUCCCCAUCCUGCUCCUGCUGCGGCGGCUGAACAGAUGAUUUGUUUCAGUGAUCAGAUUAGUUAUUUACUUUAAGCCUACAUACGAAUAUUAUAAUAUUUAGUUUUGUGAGCCAAAUUUAUUUUAUAUGCCAACAUCUAUGAAAGAAAGAGCCAGGCCACGGAGCGUGAUGCGUCAUUAUGCACAGAUGGUUCCGAUUUUGACGCCAUUUUUGGAAUUGUGUUGUGAUCUGUGCGCACAACCCACCUUUGUCACGUGAGGUUUGAAUAUAUGCAACUUUAUGUUAGUGUCUUUAUUUGUGGAAAAGGGUGUUUGUCUUACCAGUGGGUCCAACUUUACACACACCAAAUCCAUCUGUGCUUAUGAGACAGUGUGAAGGAUGCCCUCUGCAGCUCUUACAGCGACACUUAUUGAAAGGCUGUGUUGGGUCUAAAACCUGCAACAAAUGACUUAAAACACACAAAGAAGAGAAAGACAAUGGUAUUGGAUUUCUUACUCACGAGGAGAAUGGGCAGAGAUAGUGUCAGUUACAAUCUUAAAACCAUUCUUAAGGUAUCUCUGUCCAGUCUCUUUUUAUUUAGGGUUGUCCCUGGUUACACAACACUGCAUACACUAAAGGAUGGGGGAAACUAUCUGCAGCAGCGUAAGCAUUCUCAUAAAACAUAAUUAUGAACAACAGAUAAUAUGUGAGGGUCAAGGCGACAUCGUUGACAUUAAAACGAGCUCCUUCUGAUAGGAGUGGAUCCUCCUUAUUACUUUCCACGAUUCACAGUGGAGGAUACAUCACACACACACCUGCUGAUAGGAGAAACAAGGUCAGAGAAGUUAGGAAUCACUCAUGUGCUGUGUGAUAAAGCUAUUGGAGAGAGAAGUUAGAAAACACUCUUAUGUGAUGUGUAACAAGAGGUUAAAACAGUUCAUACUUGUAGCAAACUCUUACAUAAAAAUUUGAGUAAGAUGAUAACUUCUAUAUACAUUUAUACACAUUAUUCUGACAGGCUGCCUUCUGUCGCCAUCGUGUGGCAUUGCUGUCUUCAGACAUCUCUUGAUCUCUUUGACUACUUCACGAAAAUUGUAAUACGGCUCGCCGGUGGCGGAUUUAAAGGUGAGGAGAGGAGCUGAUCUUAUUGGUCAAUACAGGUCUCAGCUGUGUUGAAUCCACUCCACGCCCUCUCUCCUCCCUCGCUACGACUUAUGCCACUGGGAGGAGCUGAGUUAGGGAGGGGGGAUACUUACGCCGGGCUGUGCCAUUCACCAAAAUACCAAAUUGUACUUGUGAAUGCCUCAUCGGCGUGGUGGACCUGACUUACGCCGCGCCUGCGGCACGUCUCUGGCGAGGCAUGAAAAUACACUGUGUGCACAAUUAUUAGGCAAGUGAGUAUUUUGAUCAUAUUAUCAUUUUUAUGCAUAUUUUCCAACUCCAAGCUGUAUUAGCUUGAAUGCUUAUUGGAUAUAAGCAUAUCAGGUAAUAUGUAUUUGUGUAAUGAGGGAGGUUGGGGCCUAAGGAGAUCAACACCCUAUAUCAAGGUGUGCAUAAUUAUUAGGCAGCUUCUUUUCCUCAGGUAAAAUGGGCCAAAAAAGAGAUUUAAAUGACUCUCAAAAGUCAAAAAUUGUAAAAAGUCUUUCAGAGGGAUGCAGCACUCUUGCAAUUGCUUAGAUAUUUGGGCGUGAUCACAGAACCACCAAACACUUUGAUGCAAAUAGUCAACAGGGUCGCAAGAACGUGUUAAGAAAAAAAGACGCAAAUAAACUGCCAAAGAUUUGAGAAGACUCAAACGUAAAGCUACCAGGAACCGCUUAUCCUCCGGUGCUGUCAUAUUUCAGAACUGCAACCUACCUGGAGUGCCCAGAGGUACAAGGUGUUCAGUGCUCAAAGACAUGGCCAAGGUAAGGAAGGCUAAAACCCGACACACAAGUUGAAACGUCAAGACUGGGCCAAGACAUAUCUUAAGAGAGAUUUUUCAAAGGUUUUAUGGACUGAUGGGAUGAGAGUGACUCUUGACGGACCAGAUGGAUGGGCCCGUGGCUGUCUCAGUGACGGGCACAGAGCUCCACUUUGAAUCAGACGCCAGCAAGGUGGAGACGGGGUACUGGUAUGGGCUGGUAUUAUUAAAUAUGAGCCAGCUGGACCUUUUCGGGUUAAAGAUGGACUUAAAAUCAACUCCCAAAUCUACUGCCAGUUUUUAGAAGACACUUUCUUCAAGCAGUGGUACAGGCAAAAGUCUGCAUCUUUCAAGAAAACCAUGAUUUUUAUGCAGGAAAAUGCUCCAUUGCACGCAACAAAGUACUCCACUAUGUGGCUCGCCAGUAAAGGCCUUAAAACUGAAAGAAUAAUGACAUGGCCUCCUUCCUCACCUGACCUAAACCCUAUUAAGAACUUGUGGGCCCUAAUUAAACGGAAAAUUUACAGUGAAGGAAAACAGUACACCUCUCUGAACAGUGUCUGGAACAGUGUAUGGAAGGCUUUGGUUGCUGCAACACUAAAAGUUGAUCGUCAAUAGAUCAAGGAACUGAAAGACUCCAUGUAUGAAAGGCUUAUGACUGUUAUUGAAAAGAAGGGUGGCUGUAUUGGUCACUGAUUUUUUUUGAAAUGUCAAAAAUUUUUAUUUGGUAAUUUUAAGUUGUUUGUUUAUCAUUCUCACUUUAACAAGUGAAAAUAAACAAGUGAGACGGAAAAUUUUUCAUUUUUAAUUUAGUUGCAUAAUAAUUCUGCACACUAAUAGCUGCCCCCAGUAAUUGUGCACACAUAGAUAUUCUCCUAAGGAAGCCAAAAUCUCACUUUUAUUCCCUUAAAUAUUCAGGUUUGAGGUUUAUUUACAUUUUGGACUGACCGAGAGCACUGGAGUUGUUCAAAAAUAAAAUUUAUCCUCAAAAAUACAACUUGCCUAAUAAUUGUGCACACAGUGUAGAGCCCUAUCUGUCCAAUCAUGUUACAUACACUACAGGCCAGAAGUUUGGAAGCAAGAUCAGAUUUGUACAAAAAAAAAUCAUAGUUUCAUACAUAUAAGUUGCAACACAAUAAACAUGACUAUCGUGUAAAGAGUAACUUAUCAGAAGACAAUCUGACUAUAAUUAUUAGGUAUUCGAGUUAUUGUUGCUUAGACUUUGCUUUCUUUAAAGUAACCUCCUCUGCGUUUAACAACAGCUUGGCAUAUACGAGGCAUUCAUUCCAUAAGUUUUCUAAGGUAUUUUCCAGGUAUUGCAUUCCAAGCUUUCUGAAGUUCAUUCAAAAGAGACUGCUGAUCCGUGGGACGCGUUUUUCUGACCGAACAAUCCAAUUCAUCCCGCACAAGCUCAAUUGGAGAAAGGUCUGGAGACUGAGGGGGCCAAACCAUCAUUUGAAGAACACCUCCCUCUUCUUUUUUGUCUAGGUAACCCCGACAGAGCUUGGCAGAGUGCUUUGGGUCAUUGUCUUGCUGCAAAAAAAAACUUAUGAGCCACAGGUCUGAGUCCAGAUGGAACAGCAUGGUGCUGGAGGAUGGAGUGGUAUUGUUCCUUCUUCAUGAUACCCUUUACUUCAAACAAAUCUCCUUCUCCAUCACCUGCAAAACAUCCCCAUACCAUGGAACUACCACCUCCAUGCUGAAUUGUGGGUGUAACACGUGGUACUUUCAGACGUUCACCAGUUUGUCUGCAGACAUAGACUCUGCGUUUUGAACCAAACAGUGCAAACUUGUUUCUUGUCAUCAUAAGUCCAAUUUUUGUGAGCUUUUGCCCACUCAUAUCUCUUUUUCUUGUUCUGUGGACGAAGCAGUGUUUUUUGCAGAUACACAACCCUUCAGACCGGCCUUUCUCAAACGUCUUUUCACAGUUGUCAGAAAUAUGGGUUUCAACCUUGUCAUGUAGAUUUCCUCCCUUAUUCGUGGUGCUGUCUUUCGGUGAUCUCUCUUACUGAUGACAAUGCUAACUCUCUUUCAUCUAGGCCUUUUUCGAUCAUCAUAACUUCCAGGUUACUCUAGUCUCUUCAGAGUGUAGUGGACUCCUUUGUUAAACACCUUAAGGCCAAUUUCUCUUUCUGUGUAUCCUGCUUUCCUCAAUGUACAAAUCUGUACUUUUGUUUCUUUACUCAGUUGCUUCUUUCUAGCCAUUUUUGUAGUAUUUUGAAUGCAGUUGAGAUUUAUUAGGAUUUUUGUAUGCAGGCUCUCAAAAGCCAAAAAAUUGAAGUGAAUAAUCCAACUGUGAUUUGUUUUUUUUUGCUUUUGCACUGAAGUUGUGACUCUUGCAACCCUAAAACUAAGCCCUUAUCUUUUGCUGACAUAUAUCUAGCAAUGGUCCGUUAACAUCAAUGUAUAUCCAAAGGUAAAUGGAGUAAAAUGGUGCAUUUCCAUGAAAGCAACAUCUGAUCAUGGAGUAAAUACAUCCCAAAAUACAUACUACUCAUGCUGGAUUUUAAAAAAAGCAUUGUGAACAAAAAACUUGAAGUUACUCCCAGCUGUUCAGCCUGUAAUGGCCUUGCUUCCAAACUUUUGGCCUGUAGUGUGUGUAUAGUUCUGUUUGUGUUGUGCUUUCCUGUCUUACAUUAAAUUGCAUUUCAGGUGCUGUCGUGAGUCUAAAAGUUGAACUUCAGUGGCCUGCAGGUAACCUUUCAUUGACCUGAGCCCACCAGCCAACAGUGAUUGAUAACAGAAAAACCCUUUUGACAUGUACAUCUGUGCUGGUUUGUCCUUGAACCGGACACAGAGUCUCCAAAACCUUCCAGGCUGGCUGGCCCUGUUCUCACCCUGACCACCUACCUUACCUGCACCAUCUGAGAUUAACUUCUACCUCUAACAGGAGUGGGAAAACACUCCUUUUCUCUGGUGACUCAAAUAUCUUACUAGAUCCAUGAGAUGUUUCCUUACAAAUAUUUUGUUUGGGAUUGUUUUACUCUUACAGUCAUCCCCCUCUCUUUUUUUAAUCCGAAAGGGAAAGGGAGAUUAGAUGAAUGUUCCAUAAAUUUCGAGGACAGAGAUUACCUUUGCAGAUUUGCUCUUUGUGAACUAAACUAAAAUUUAGGUCAGUUCAAGACGGACAAAAAGAAAGGCAAUCAAACUUCAUGUAAAAUGAAGAAGUGGAAGAGAAGAUAAAAACAGUAAAAAGAAGAGAAUAGUCGAUAAAGAGAAAGUAUGAGUCGGUUAUCAGAUGCAAUUUUAUUUGUGUGAUCUGAGAGCAGCUGGGUCAGUCAGCCACUACAGCACAGAGACUGUUCUUACAAUUCCCCUCCUCCCUCCACUGAUUAUAUUUGUUUCUACGUAUCAUGUCAUGUGAACCUAAUUUAAUCCUUGAAUCUGCUCAGGCUGCCCCAUGGCUGACUUUCUCUGGAAUUGGUCUGCAGAGUUGGAGACUCUGAACUGAAAUGAGGCAAAGGUUUCAGCCUGACUUUGACUGUCUUUGACUUGGGGGCAACAAAAGUAAGUCUUACCCAAGCCUUUAAGGAGUCAUAAGAACAUCAGAAAAGAUCAUUGGACUCAGUCUACCCUCACUGGAAGACAUCUUCAAAACACACUGCCUUCGCACCACCACCAACAUACUCAGAGAUCCCAGCCACCUCAGUCAUCACCUGUAUUCCAUGCUACCCUCUGGAAGGCACUACAGGGCACUCAGAUCCUGCACCUCCAGACUCAAGAACAGUUUUUACCAUAGAACUAUAACUGAACUAAAUAAAGCAAGAACAAGGACAACUAGAAAAUUCCAGGGAAAUUUUAAAAUGUGCCUACCCGCUUGCUGAUUCGCUGCUGCUUGCUGCUGAUUUACUCACAUUUAGGCCAUGUUUUGGGUGGAGAUACAUGAGGGCUACUUCCUGUUUGGGGAUGGUGGGGUCAUCCAAGAUGGCUGCAGAGUGGGACAUGUCUUCAGAGUGGUGUCACAAGGGGAUGUGUCAAAUAUGGUGCUGAUAUGUCAAAGCGUUGAUGAUUUAGAGCCUUUGUCAUGAAUCUGACUUGAAACUUUGGUAAUCCGGCUGUCUCUGUGUUGUUGUGUCUGGAAGACAGCUGUCAAUCAAGACCAGGUGGGCAGGCCUUGUGCUCUGAGUGGGAAUUGUCUCUAUGGUGACAGUGCACCUGCAGUUCACCUGUGACAGACUUUUCCUCACUGAGCCUCUACCUGCUUAGAACAGGACUGGCCCAAACAAACCCACUUUCUAGGAAAACUGUAAGAGAUAUUGAAAUGCGGUUUUCACAGGUUGAAGGGUUCAGGUCUCAUCUAAAUUUCUACCUCAAAGUAUGACAUCACAAUCAAACUCCAAAUAUGGAGACCACCCCAUGUUUUCAGCGGCUCCAUUCACUUUAAAUAGGAAUCUUGAUAUCUCACUAGUGCCCACAAAAGGCUUGUUGCUGACAAACUUCAUGUUGUAUAGGAAAAAACUCUGGACCGUGAGCGACUGCUCGAAUACAGCUAUGACCGAUCAGAAGGACAAGUUGGUACGCUUUACAGCAGGGUUGUCAUUCUUACAGCCCAUGGGCUGGAUCAGGCCCGCAAAUGGGUUUAAUCCAGCCCAUGAGAUGACUUUGCAAAGUAUAAAGAUGAGCUGUAAUUUUUUCAUGAAACAAAUUGCUCUUCAAAAUGUGUCCACUGGAUGUCACAAUAGCAAUUUUGUUAAGCAAGCAAACUGUUUAUAAAGUGGACUGAGCAGGUUUUCUAAGCAAGUACAGCUAAUCUGGAGCUACCUUGUGUUGUGUCUGCUCUUUUACGUCUUCUACUUUGGACAUGUCACACUUUUGCCCCCUCAAUGCCCCAAGAUGUCUGUCAAAAAAGAGAAAAGUGGAUGCAGAGUGCAGAGUGUUCCAGGAAAAAUGGUCAUCCUCCUAAUUCAAGGAAGUGAAUGGGAAAGCUGUGUGUUUGGUGUGUUCACAGCAUGUUUCAGUGCUAAAAGAAUAUAAUCUUUGUCGCCACUAUGAGACUCCUCAUGCCAACAAAUACAACAACUUUCAAGGACAAGAGAGAAGGUGAAUGAACUUUUGGUGGUUCUGAAGAAACAGCAGUCUGUGUUUACUCAUAGCCGAGAAAUCAGUGACACAAGCUAGCUACCUUAUUGCUAAUGAAAUAGCAGUUGCUUCAAAACCAUUUAAUGAGGAUGAAUUUGUGAAAACAUGCAUGCUAAAGGCUGCGGAGUUAAUGGCACUUUGACCGUCACCGAGGAGUUCGUGGAGUUGGUGCCAAUGACGGACACCACAACAGCAGCUGAUAUUUACACCACACUCAUGGGUGUGCUGGACAGGCUCAGAGUGGACUGGUCCCCUGCUGUUAGCCUGACUACGGAUGGUGUGCCCUCAAUGAUCGGGAAAAAGCAGGUGUUGUGAGUUCAGAGAAAAAGUUCAGACUGCAAAUGGGGGACGGAAUUUUGGACAUUUCACUGUAUUUUGCAUCAGGAGGCUUUGUGUUGCAAGGCAUUAAAGAUGGAUAACGUCAUGAAGGUGGUUGUCCAAACUGUUAAUUUCCUCCAAUCUAGAGGCCGGAAACACCGUCAGUUUGACAGCCUUCUCAGAGAGAAAGACCACAACUAUGGCCUGCCGUAGCACACCAAGGUAAGAUGGUUAAGCCCAGGUGCUGUGCUGAGGUGUUUCUUUGACCUUUGUGAGGAAAUUGAGCAGUUCAUGGCAGAAAAUGGCCAACCAGUGUUAGAAUUUCAGUCCACAGAAUGGAUGCAGGACCUUGCAUUUAUGGUGGAUGUUACAGAGCACCUAAAUAACUUGAACACAAUUCUUCAAGGGUGCAAUAAAGUUAUAACGCAGUAUUAUGACAGCAUAUGUGCAUUCAGCGGAAGCUGUCAUUGUGGGAGAGGCAACUUGCAGCUGGUGAUGCAGCUCACUUUCCUUGUCUGAAAGGUACAGUGCAUCCGGAAAGUAUUCAUACCACUUUUUCCACAUUUUGUUAUGUUACAGCCUUAUUCCAAAAUGGAUUGAAUUCCUUUUUUCCCUCAAAAAUUUUACACAAAAUACCACAUAAUGACAAAGCGAAAAACUUUUAUUUUGAACGUUUUGCAAAUUUAUUAAAAAAAGGCACACAAAUGUUGCAUAUACAUAAGUAUUCACACCCUUUGCUAUAAAACUCAAAAUUGAGCUUAAUCUUCCAGCAUGACAAUGACCCUAAGCACACGGCCAAGGAGACAAAGGAGUGGCUUCAGGACAAGUCUCUGAAUGUCCUUGAGUGGCCCAGCCAGAGCCCAGACUUGAACCCGAUUGAACAUCUUUGGAAAGACCUGAAAGUAGCUGUGCACCGACGCUGCCCAUUCAACCUCACUGAGCUUGAGAGGAUGUGCAAGGAAGAAUGGGAAAAACUCCCCAAAUCCAGGUGUGCCAAGCUUGUUGCAUCAUACACAAGAAGACUGGAGGCUGUAAUCGCUGCCAAAGGUGCUUGGACCAAGUAUUGAGUAAAGGGUGUGAAUACUUAUGUAUAUGCAACAUUUGAGUGUUCUUAUUUUUAAUAAAUUUGCAAAUUGAUCUAAAAAAUGUUUUUCGCUUUGUCAUUGUGGGGUAUUUUGUGUAGAAUUUUUGAGGGAAAAGGGAACGUAAUCCAUUUUGGAAUAAGGCUGUAACAUAACAAAAUGUGGAAAAAGUGAAGUGGUAUGAAUACUUUCCGGAUGCACUGUAUGUGCGUGACCCAACAUGCCGAAGACAUGAAGCGGUUCCAAGACAAAAUAACGGGACUAUUGCGGGAGUUUGAGCAAUGCUUUCAGAUUUUUGGUGAAAUAGAGAAAGACUAGAGAAAGAAAGAGAUGCUCUCUGUAAUGAGCAGAAGGCUCAUGCACAAGCACUUCAAUAACAUCCUGAAAUUGGCUGCCACUCAGGAUUUGACACCUGAUAUUGAUGCACUUGUGAAAGCUAAAAGAUGCCAGGUUUCAGGAGUAAAAUAAACAGUGGGUAACCCCACUUAAAGUGUUGCAUCACACACUGCACCCUAAUACAGUUCUGUGAAAAUGAUUGUCUUCUGUGGAAUUUAAAUAAAGUGAACAUAGUGUGAUUACCUGCAAUACUGUCUGUCACUUCAGUUUAUAAGUUUGGUUUGUUGAAAUUUUUCAUGUAUUGCACAGCUUUCAUUUUUCUAUCAGUAGUGUAGCCUACAAGGCAGGAAGUAACUCAACUCUCUUGAAUAGUUUCUACCUCAGUUUGUAUGGUUUGUUGAGUUGGCACAGGAUAAUUUGUGGAAAUGACAAAUGAGGUAUUUAAUACCUAGAAGACUUGUUUUAUUUAUUUAUUAUUUAUUUUGCAUUUUAUUCAAUCCCAGAUAGGCUGUGACUUACAGUUCAAUGGCUUUGUAGAUACUCUGAGACAAAGUCUAAGCUCCAGUCACUGAGGCAUUGUGUUCUUAAAAAUGCACAUUGUUUUUCCUCAGAAUUUUCAACUAACCUUUAGUGUUUUGUCUAGAGGAUUAUUUGUGAUGUGUACAUUUUCAGAAUGUGCUUGUACUAUUUUGGACCAAAAAAAAAAAACAGAGAAAACAACCUGAAGUUGUUAUUAUUGUUAAGUUAUUAUGCCAUGGUUUUACAGGUCCGGCCCAUUUGGGAAUAGAUUUCCCUCCAUGUGGCCCCUGAGCUAAAGAGAGUUUGACACCCCUGCUUUAUGGUUUAGGAGCACGAGCUGCUCGGAGAAAAUGAGCAACAGUUGGAUGUGGAGCAUUUGUGUUCUUUUGAAUAGUGGUGGAUGGAGGUGAAACAGGUACCUCCUCAUGAACAAAACCUUGUAGCUUGAAAAGUAACAACUCAUGGCUUCAAGGUACACAUUUUCUGUCCAGCUGGUAGAUUUCCUACAUUUUGAUUUAUAAUUUGUGUGUGUCAAGUGAAAAUUGUGGCCGUGGCAGCGAUUUAGAAAUCAACUUUUUGAUGAUUUAAUCAUGCUUCUACAUCAAAGUAUGGCAACAGGGCAAGGCGUCAAAGUCAUGCGAAAAGUCAAUAUUUUUUCUCGCCCUCUCCUAUCCGCUUACAUGGGGAAAUUUUCACCGCUUUUCGGCGUCUAGCGUCGGCAUGGAAACAGUAAUGAUAAAAAAAAGUAAUAUCGAACAUCGCACAAUGGAGAUGCACGUUUUGAUAUAUGCCAUGCCUGGAUGCACCUUACCGCAUUAAUUGACGAAGGUGCGUCUAUAAUGAUAAGAAAAAAUAAACCCGCCAUCUAGGAUACCCAUAUACGCCUUGGCACACAAUACACACUAAUGGGGAAUUCUGGGGGGCUUUUUUUUUUUCUCUUUCUUUUUUUUUUUUUUUUAUCACCCCCUCCCCAUUCCAGGGGCGUAUGCCCUGCAACACACCCCCUGCUUUGCUCUGCAUUUUGGGGACAUUACUGAACCUGCCCGGACGAUAACAAUAUGUGCUUUACCAGCCUUGCUCGACUUGGCAGGCACAUAAUAAAUGAGACUCUUAUCCUUGCUCAACCAGUGCAGUUAACAGGACAAUACACACAAUAUACAAAAGUUGUGUUUAUGCAUUUAUGUGUGUAAGUAAAGGUAUAUACAGUAUAUAUAUAUAUAUAUAUAUAUAUACUACAGGCCAGAAGUUUGGAAGCAAGAUCAGAUUUGUACAAAAAAGAUCAUAGUUUCAUACAUAUAAUUUGCAACACAAUAAACAUGAAUGUUAUCAGAAGACAUUUUGACUAUAAUUAUAAGGUAUUUGAGUUAUUGUUGCUUAGACUUUGCUUUCUUUAAAGUAACCUCCUAUGGAUUUAACAACAGUUUGGCAUAUACCAGGCAUUCGUUCCACAAGUUUUUUAAGGUAUGCUCCAGGGAUUGCAUUCCAAGCUUUCUUAAGUUCAUUAAAAAGAGACUGCUGAUUCGUGGGAAGCCUUUUUCUGACCGAUUGAUCCAAUUCAUCCCGCAAAUGCUCAAUUGAGAAAGGUCUGGAGACUGAGGGGGUAAAACCAUCUUUUCACCUUCAUUUUCUUUUUUGUCUAGGUAACCCUGACAGAGCUUGGCAGAGUGCUUAGGGUCAUUGUCUUGCUGCAAAAAAAAACUUAUGAGCCACAAGUCUGAGUUCAGAUGGAACAGCAUGGUGCCGGAAAAUGGAGUGGUACUGUUCCUUCUUCAUGAUACCCUUUACUUCAAACAAAUCUCCUACUCCAUCACCUGCAAAACAUCCCCAUACCAUGGAACUACCACCUCCAUGCUGAAUUGUGGGUGUAACACGUGGUACUUUCAGACGUUCACCUGUUUGUCUGCUGACAUAGACUCUGCGUUUUGAACCAAACAGUGCAAACUUGCUUUCAUCGGUCCAGAGAACUUGUUUCUAGUCAUCAUAAGUCCAAUUUUUGUGAGCUUUUGCCCACUCAUAUCUCUUGUUCUGUGGACGAAGUAGUGUUUUUUUGCAGAUACACAACCCUUCAGACCGGCCUUUCUCAAAUGUCAUUUCAUGGUUGUCAGAGAUAUGGGUUUCGACCUUGUCAUGUUGAUCUGUCUCUCUAUUUUUGGUGCUGUCUUUUGCCAAUCUCUCUUACUGGUGACAAUGCUAUGUUUAUCCUCUGCUUUUGUAGUAACUCUCUUUCAUCUAAGCCCUUUUCUAUCAUCAUAACUUCCAGGUUCCUCUAGCCUCUUCAGAGUGUAGUGGACUCCUUUGUUAAACACCUUUAGGCGUUUUGCAAUUUCUCUUUCUGUGUAUCCUUCUUUCCUCAAUGUACAAAUCUGUACUUUUGUUUCUUUACUCAGUUGCUUCUUUCUAGCCAUUUUUGAUUUUUGUAUGCAGACUCUCAAAGCCAAAAAGUUGAAGUGAAUAAUCAAACUGUGAUUUGUUUUUUUUUGCUUUUGCACUCAAGUUGUGACUCUUGCAAAUGUUUUCAACCCUAAAACUAAGCCCUUAUUAUCUUUUGCUGACAUAUAUUUAGCAAUGGUCUGUUAACAUCAAUGUAUAUCCAAAGGUAAAUGGAGUAAAAUGGUGCAUUUCCAUGAAAGCAACAUCUGAUCAUGGAGUACAUACAUCCCAAAAAACAAAAAACUCAUGCUGGAUUUUAAAAAAAAAGCAUUCUGAACAAAAACUUUAUCCAAAAAGUUAAUCCAAACUGUUCGGCCUGUAGGCCUGUAGUGUAUGUAUAUGUAUAUACACUACAGGCACUAUAUAUACUGUAUAAGUGAAUGUGUACAUGCAUGUGUUUCUGCUACUCAGACAUGGCACAAAGGAAUUUCUGUUGCACCUCUUUUCAUGGCACUAAGGAUUAUUCUAUUCUAUUCAAUUCCAAUCUAAGAGCUGCACAAAACAGUACAUUGGUGCUGAGCGCUUUUAAAGGGGACCUGCCAUCAAAAUUUCAUACCCAUUUGUCAUUUUUUCAUAAUCCUUGAUGUCCUCUGAUCAUGUUUGCAACAUAAUUUUAGCUGAAAAGUUAUUUGAUGGUUUGUUUUAGUAUGCCUAAAAAAACCUUACAGGAAAACCAACUCAUUUUGGCUCAUUAACAUUUAUGGUAAUGAGCUUUGCUCUGAUUGGAUCGCUGCUGUGAAGCCUGCUGUGCUCUGAUUGGCUCAGCAGUGGAGGUUCGGAUUUUGGUUUAUCCAUUUUGCUAAUGUUUGCUAAAGUAAGGUGCCCAGAUGUCUGUAAUGAAAUCCGGGGACAUUUGGUGCGGCGGCGGUGGGGUGCAGGAGCUGCAGGGGCUGUGUGAUCACAGACAAAAUCUCGGUACUAUGUAGUAGCAGCGUAUGCCCCUUGUAAUAACCCCCGUAAGAACUGUUGUUCAGGACUGCUUACUUGUGCUUCCUACCUACUGUAAUAACAGUUGUUCUAGCCCACACGCAACAUUUUUGUUCUCAUUCAUGGAAUGCUUAAAUUCGGGACAUUUUCGGGGACAGCUUUUGCCGGGGACAGGUCAUCAAAUUCGGGGACUGUCCCCGGAAAUCGGGGACGUCUGGUCACCUUAUGCUAAAGGCUAAAAAUGGCAGGUAUUAAACCAUAUAUUUUAGACCCCGAGUCCGAAGAGGAGGUGGAAGUUGAAGAAAAAGCCGGAGAUCUCCAGCGGUGUUUUCUCAUUCAUUCUGCCCAGCUUUAAGUUCAUUUUCCCGGCAGUGAACCCAAGGAAACACUGGUCGUUUGGAAGAGACCCAUAGCGGAUACAGUGGUAGCUGGGUCUUGCUCUGGCUGGAGAGUGAUGUUGACUGUGAAUGAGUACGAGAACGAGAGAGUGGGUGCGGCUCACCGAGGACGCGCUCCUGAAUAAUAAUGAGCAAGGUCAGCGUGACGUCAGAAUGACCUGCUUUUUCAAUUGGCCUGGUUUACCCGUUUCUUUAUUUUAAACCUUUACAGAAUGCAAACGACGUAACGGUUUGUUUUCACAUGUACAACAUAAGACGAACAUAAUAUGGACCUUAUCUGACACACAAAACACAAAAAAUUACAUUUUUGAUGGCAGGUCCCCUUAAAAGGCAGAUGCACUUUUUCUGUGUGUGACUAACGUGAUUUAAAGCUCCUGUGAGAGGUUUCAAACUGGUCAUGAAACAGCUCUCUUCACUGCUGCUGCAUCCUCAUCUGUACACUGGUGAAAUCUCUCUUGAAGGCAGCAGCUGGUUAAAGACAGUAAAGUCUGUAUUGUCUUCUUUGUAGCUUCCCAUUCAUAGUGAAACAGAGAGUCGCCACACAAAGAUACUCAGGCACUCAUUUAGGGGAAGCCAUGAAUACAUGUAUAUUUUGCAGGCAUAUUGGAUAGAUUGCUUUCUUCUCUGGCUGUAAUUGAAACUGCAAAUCUAUUUAUCGUGCAACAAAAGUACUGGACAACAGUAAACCUGGGUAGGGUUGAGAACCUAACUUCUGUAAAUUUAUGUCAUCUCUUAUUGGUCUUAAAUGAAGUUCAACUGUGCAAAAAUAGAAGUAAAAUAAACCUUUAAUGAUCUGAAAUGUGCAGAUUUAACACAAAAUAUCCCUCUUUUCUUUUGAAGAUAGUCUGACCCACCUGUAGCUAAUGUUGCUCUGUCGUCUUUAUCUUUUCUGUUGUUUCAUCAUCAUCACAUGCAGAGUGAAGUAGUUAAAUCAGCUAUGUGUGUGUGUGUGUGUGGCUGUAGAUGAAAUAGGGGACAAGUGUUGCCCAAAGGUCACUUAGAUGGAUAGCGUGAGAGAGUGUGUGAGCCGGUGCAAGUGUAUGUUCCCUGCAGCAGUUUUAAGGGUGACCUCUAUGGCAGCUCGAUUUCCUUCUUAACACACACACACACACACACACACACACACACACACACACACACACACACACACACACAUUCAGGCUUCAGGCUGCUGCCAGCUCUGUGAUGUGAUCAUUGUGAGAAAGCAAACAAGACUUAAAUGAUUCACAAUUACAUGAUGACAGCAUUGUUGGGGAUCUUUUUAGUGGAUGGAGCAUGUGGGCAGCGGUUGGGAAAAACCCUCGACCACCGUUGAAGAGGGAUCUGGCUUCAAUGUUGUGUUACUUUCAGCACAAUGAGUUGUUGCUCUGGCAAAGGGAAUUUGGAUGUGUAGUGAUAGUCUGCCACACACCAGCUUUGAAGUAUUGGUAUGAGGUAAAAAAGCAGAGUCUUUGCAAUGGGAAGAGCGUUUAAAGUGAAGGUGCUGUUGUCAGAGGUGCAUCUACUUUGUAUUGCGUUUGAUCGACUAUGAGGCAUGCACUUUCUUAUUGACUGAGUAUGGUUACUGUCCUGUAAGGGAACAUUUCAUUUAUAACUGAGUAGUCUAAUUAAAUGUGCAUAAUAUAUCCAUUUUGCAACUAACAGGCCUCUUUCUACAGGCCUGAACUUACAAGCCAAAUGUGAUAAAAUGGGUUAAAAAGUCUGCAGAGCACGAUGAACUGGACUCUGCCAAGUAUGCACAUUUUCAAACACAUGCACACAGGUACUUUCAUAUAGAACAGUUAAAAAAUGUACAAUAACUAGAUUAAAAAAGGGCAACAACUCUGCACAGCAUAGUAGACUAGGGGUGUCAUGAUUUCAAUUUUUUAUCUAAAUCAAUCAAAAUUAUGUCAUGGUCUCGAUAUUCGAAAUCAAAGAGAAGAUCGACAAUCCCCUCCCUCCACAUCUGGGAGGUUUGCAAAGUGGAAGCAAAUGACAACAUUGUACAUUUUAGCCCACACAAGUCUCUGUGAGUUCUCAUUUUUGUUGUUAUUAUGUAGGGCUGAAGGAUAUGUCAUUUGAGCAUCAUCAUCACGAUAUACAUGUUUGCGAUAGUCACAUUGCAGAGCCUGCAAAGUAGGAGGCGAAUGAACUCCUUUAAUUUCAAGGGUAGCUGCCUGAAAUACACUGUGCUGUGCAGUGAUCCACCAAUCACAUCGUUCUUCACUCAGCUGCCAAUUAGACUACCCUACCAGCCGUCAAUCAAAACCAGAGAGGAGGAAACCACGUCCCUGCACAUGGCCUGCACAUGGAGUGAGUCGCUGGUGCUGAGAAUUACUUACAGAACAUUACUCAUCACUGUUCAGCCCCACAAAUAAGAACUGUAUGGGUUUUAGAUUGUACAGUUCUGUGGACCACUUUACUAUAAGCGGUGCGCAUUUCCGCAAGGUGCAUGCAAUUCUUAACAGACGGGUUUCUCGGCACAACACCAGUAACAACAACGAUUGAAAAAUAAGAAAUAAACACGAGAAAACCACCAAAAAUGAAGACGUGUUGCCAAAAAGAAAAGCAGCGUCAGUUAUCUGGAAUUAUUUUGGUUACAAGAGGGAUGAUGUCGACCAAACACGUGUUCAGUUUUGGCAGUGCCUUUCUGUUGCCACAAUGAGAGAUAACAAGUCCCAGCACAAUAAAAACAAGCUAAAAAUAUCUCUUAGGAAAGACAGAAGCCAUUCUACUAUCAUUUACAAAAGAGGUAAGAUUAGUGCGGGUUAAUUGUCCACAAUAUUUCAGCAGUGCAGCAUAACAAAGUGCUAUUCAGGUCAUCUGGUGAAAAUUCCUGUAUUUUUUUAAUAUCACAAUAUAUACCACAGAGUUGAAAAAUUGCAGUAUAAGUUUUUCCCCAAAUCGUGCAGCCCUGUUAUAAUGUUUGUUUUUGUUGUUUUCACUUUUAAAUUUGACUAUUAGUGCCUAAUGUGAUACAUUACACAAGAUUAAUGGAAAUUGCAUCACUUGUAGCCCAUCUUUUGAAAUAAGAUUCAUUGUAUGAAAUGUAAUGAAUAAAACCAAUGAUCUUAGACUUGACUAGCUUAAAAAUGGCGUAGGCCUCUGUGCUGUAAGAAAAAGACAAAGAAUCGAGAAUAGAAUUGUGACCCUAAAAUUGAAAAUUAAAUCAAAUCGAGGAUUUGACACCCCUACAUUAGACUCAGUAAACCACAAACAGCUGAAACAUUCCUGAAAUUGUCUGUGCAUGUUGCACAUAUCCAAAUACAUGCAAUGUUUGAAUCAGCAAAAAAAAAGAGUCUGUGUGGCAUAUUUUGUUUCAGUGAAAGUAUCAGUAUGAAAAUAUGGAUUCAUUAUGAUGUGUAACUGCUCAGCAGCAGUGAAUGAGAAACCAAAUUUAUUACCUUAAGCUGUCAGCACUUCAUUUAAAUCCCUCCAAACACUGCUUGGUGCUCAGACGUCCAUCCUCUGUUGUUCUUUUUUUAGCAGCAGAAGAAAUCUGAAAUUUAUUUUUCCUCUGUGAAAGCUAACUAUUUGAAAUAAUGCAACAUAAGUUGCUGCCUGUAGCUGUGAGGUGAGAAGCCCAUUUAAUUUCCAUUGACCAUAACAGGUGCCCCACAUCAAGUUGUUGUCCCUCAAAGAGACCCCGGUGUUGAUCUUAGAAGCUCUUCAAGCCAGGGUCAUUUGGAUAAUCAAUGUUUUUGUUGGGACAAUGACAUAAAGAAUAUGUUUAAGGUCAAAAACUUAAAAUCAACGUUAUUUUCCUCAACAGGCAUCCAAUCCAUCAAACAAAAUCUUGUCACUCAUAUGCACGAAGUGCACCGUGGUGCUUCUUUCUCAUUUAGGUUAGGUCAAGGUGGGUUCCUUAGACUCAAGGAUCUUAAGGACUGAACCUGCCCCCCCCCCCCCCACCACCACCACCACAGUUUCUGAUUCACUUUAAAAAGAAACAAUGUUCUGACUAAAAGUAAAGAGUAAAAUCUAUGAGUAAAACUACGAAGGACAGAAAUGACUGAAACUGAAAGGUAUUUGAGCCUAAAGACUCAGAGUAAAGUCAAUACUGAAUCAAACUGAGACCUCACCAGCCCCAAUUGAUGAGCACAGCAGGAAAGUUAUCGAGGAGGGGUAGAAGGCAAUUUACUCACUGAGAGAGUCCAGGUGAUGAUAUGACACCUAAAACAGUCGCAACUGUAGCGAUUUGAAAUGAGCCUCACACGGUCGCACCAAAAUAAUACGGUUUGAAAUGAGCCUCACAUGGUCGCACCAAAAUAAUACUGUAGCGAUUUGAAUUUAUAAUAAAUAUCUGGAGAUUAAUAAUCUCAAGUUAUGACAUUUAUGUACUCGUUGAAAGGGGCACCACCCACCCUUAAUGGUGGGAAAAUAAAGAAAAACUAAAAUUUAAUUCAGAAAUCAAACAUCAAGUCAAUCUUAAAUGAAUAAAUCUCAUAUCUUGAGCCGAAAUUCUCAUUUCAGGGACUCCACUUCUGGAAGAACACUAACAGACAAGAACUUAGGAAAAUAAUGAUCUGUUUAUUACAGGAUAAAUGAUGGUACAACAUACAUGCAAUAAAUGAUGAUAAGAUAAUGAGGAUAAAUAAUAAUAGGUGAAUAAAUAAAGAUUCUGAGUCAGGCUAGGAGCACUAAAGUUAAUGAUAGUGAGUGAAUAUGCUCUAACAUAUUAACCUACACUAACUUUGGUGUCGAGAUAAACUCGGAUGUGGAUUUGGAGGAAUCUUAGAUCACCAGAAAUAGGUGGAUAUCUGAGUUAUGAACGCAUGAGACAGCAUCAGCCCUGUUUGGAGCUCUGGAGGUUUGCAUACUUACGUGAGACUGGUCCUUGGAGAAGAUGGAGCAGGUUCCGAAGGUCCGGGGCUACCGGCGGUUCGAGCGGUUCAGCUCAGAAGACGACUGAAGUCAGCCGAAGGAUGGGCCAGGAGUUGUAGCACUCGGGCCUGGAGUAAAGCCGGCGCCUGUGGAUCCUGUGAAUGCUCGUUUGGACGCUUCUUUGGUCUCACUCAAAAACUCUGGCACAGAGGAUGACCUGGGCCUGCUGGGUUGCGUUCAGAGGUGAAUUUGAAAUCACGCAGAUAACUCAGAAAAACGAGGCUCGAUGAGCAGAGAAACUUUCAAAAAUGGCUUCGCGAAAUUAAAGAAAAAUCAAUCAAAGGCUUAAUCUUAAAUUGUUAUGCGCACAAAAAGUUGAAGUUUCAAAACUUGAACUAAGAUGAUGUUAAAGAAAAAUCAACGUGAAUCAACACGUGGCGUAAAACUUAGUAGACUAAGAAAAAGUUCUAAGAGAAAACGAAGACUGUAUAAGGGCAACUAAGAGUGAAAGGGGAGAAGAGCAGAGAAGAGGAAGGGUACAAGAGAAGAGUAAGGGGACAAGAGAACGAGCAACCCCACUUAACUGGUUUUAUCUUCUCACACUGGGAGUGUCUAUGGCGUGUGUGUGUGUGUGUGAGGAGAAAGAGGAGGGUUCGUGGGGUCUCUGAUUAUUUGAUCUAACUUAUUCUUUUGGCUGGUAAAAGAGUCAGAUCUGAUACUCACUCACUAUGAUUAAUAUCAUUGAAUGCUUGGUUUCAUGAUAAAUAAUUUGAUACUAAACACAUAUGAAUGAAGUGUAGGAUCACAUCAAACAUUCUCAUUAUGUUUUAAGUAUCACAUUGAACAUGCUAAAUUACUCUGAAAUGAAACAGAUAGUAACACAUGGAAACUGUGAACAACAAAAGAGUAAACAUAUGUGAAUGAACUUCAUCAUGAUUAAUAAUGGAUUCUAAAUACUGACAUUCAGAUUAUUCAAUGACAUUAUAACCACCUAAUGGUUAAAAAUACUAAAUAAACAACUAAAAUAUAAACCAAACAUUUCUAAACCAUUUCUGUUACUUAGAGUAAAGUUAUGAGUCAUAGUCAAUAAAUUUAACUCUUAAAAGUUCAUGAAACAGUCUGAAAAGCUGUUGGUCUAAAGAAACUAAAGAAUAAAGGAUUUAUUCUGUCAGAAUGAUAACUUUGCUUCUGGAGGACAUAGAAAAACGGAAAACAUCCCAUUUUAACACAAAUUUCAUGAUUAGACAGAUUAGUACAUUGCUGAAUGCAUAAGAUGUCAUGAUCAGUCAUUUGUAUUCUUUCACCAAAGGAAUGUAGUCUUUAUCAGUGUAUGGUCGAGCAGGGUUCUACGACCGAGGUCUGGAGGUCAGUGUCCUCCCUUAUCCUGGGGUCCGUAUGUUCACACACUUUAAGACGGUAAAUCUCAAAUGGGAGAUCUGGGUUGAAGCGUUAAUGUUUAUUUAGAUGGUCAGCGAUGGAGUCAGUUUGAAAGGUAAUAAAAACUCUGUCUCUGUUCUCCGAAUUGACCAAUCGUGAAGAGUCAGAGGUUUGGUCAACCUCCGGUCGGGUCACUUAGGUAACCUGAAAGUGCAAACAAGUCUGGAAAGAUUUAUAUCCUGUGUCCUGGGACCAGAUAAGGAAACUUUCCUGUGAGGAAUGUGUGAGUUUCACACCCAGGGUUGUCUUAAUUGCUACACAACCAAACCUGUGAAACUGGUGCAGGAAAUAGAGACUUUGACAGGGUGCUUUUUGUAUUUUAGGCCAAAAGUCAAAGUUUCUCCAAUAAAACAGGUCAAUUUUCAAAGGUGUCACCUACAGUAUAUGUGCACUUAAACUCUUGUUGAACAUUAAAUCAAUGAGAAUAGUUUGCAGCAGUCUUAGGUGAUGUGGAGGUUUCUUAAAGCAGCUUACAUGUGUGGAGCCUCUGGCUAAAGUUGAUGCACUGCUUUUCUCUGCUGUUUGACUUUUAUCUCCUCUCUGAUUUAACCGUAUUCAGAGAAAUUAAAGCUCCUUUCAGUGUUAUUCAGAAACUCCUGUCUUCACCUCCUCCACCUCCUCCAUAUGCACUAUGCCUCUACCUGUAGGCACACAAUGAAUGAAGGCAGAGCGCUGAAAGCUUUAACUGAGACUAUCAAUCCUGUGUAUGUACUCGGCACCAGUCUUUCCUCAGUGAAUAAGUCACGGCUGCAGAAGCGUCUGAUUUUUAAGCUCUUUUCAUGUUUUUUUGGUCAGACGUGAUCGCCAACAGUGGAGUGAGACAGAUUAGAGAGUAAGCACAAGGUGGUGGUGUGUGUCAGACCUAGAGGAUGGGUCCAAGAGGACUUUUUGUAGGUCCUGGCAUGCCAUAUACACCCAGCAAGUGUCUUGCAUAUAGGUUGAACCCAGAAGAAGGGUCUGGUGUUUUAAGAUAGGGGUGCUGUUAAGUCAGUUAUUCAUUGAAACCUGAAAAAUAUUAUAUUUUUCCUCAAGUUGGAUGUGAGUGUCAAGGUUGGUGAGUUAUGGGGCAUGUCAUGGCCUCCACACCAAGGACAACAGAACGUCUGACAACAUAAAUAAUGGCAGUUGAUAGGUGAACAAAAACCUUUCUGUGUUUAAAAUAACGAUAUCCAGCCAUUGCUUAUAAAAGUAGCCUUAUCUUUUAUUAACGUCCUUAUUGAUCAUCAACUUGGACUUUUUCUUUUAAACAGAGGCAUAGUUGGCAGCAGAAUCCAACGCAUUUCCCACAGCGUGUAGCAGUAGGAAGACUUUUUCUCAUCCAAACAUCUGCAGAAGUUAAUAAAGAGAAAACAGAACUGUUUUUUUUCCAGUAAAUAUACUGUUUAUUUUUAUUUUAUUCAUUUAUUUAUUUGUCUGCUGUAUGGUUGGACAUUGAAAAAUGGGACUCAAUGAGGGUUGAUUCCAAGAUGGCGCGGACGUGUCCAGGCGCCGUCGUGACUGCUCCGCGUAGAUUGUGCUUUUUGUUAGUUUUUUUCUUAGUUAUCCUUAGCUCUUUAACCCCUCAUUGUCCCAGUCUAAUUACAUAUGACCACAGCACACUACUUAACUUUGCUAGCAGGUCUAUCUACCCAUUUUCGGAACUUUUGAGUCAGAGCUCUACCUGGCCGAAGGAGAUCCUACAGAGCACGGAGCGUAACCAGAGGAAAUGGCCACCAAAGUCGCGCAGGAAAAAACACAGAGGGAAACAUGCCGGUGUCAAAAACAGGCUGCGUGCACGAGCACACCACCCUCCUCUUCUCAGUAUCCUGCUGGCCAACGUCCAAUCUUUGGACAACAAGUUGGACGACAUCAGGGCUCGGGUCCGCUUCCAGCGCGACAUGAGGAACUGCAACAUCCUUUGUUUCACGGAGACAUGGCUCACGUCGGAGGUGCCGGACCACGCCGUUCGCCCAGCUGAAACAUUCACAGUGUUUCGCAUGGACAGAAUGGAAGACUCCGGCAAAUCAAGAGGUGGUGGAGUGUGUUUCCUGACCAACAACAGCUGGUGUGAUCCAAGGAAUGUUACUGUUCUGUCGCGCUCGUGCUCACUGGACCUCGAACAUCUGGCAAUCCUCUGUCGCCCCUUCUAUCUACCUCGGGAGUUCUCCGCGGUCAUCAUCCUCACCGUCUAUAUUCCACCACAGGUGAACACGGACACUGCUCUCACCACCCUGCAUGACUACAUCAGCAGACACUACACAAAGCACCCGGACGCUGCCCUCAUCAUGGCUGGUGACUUCAAUAAGGCCAACCUCAAAAAGGGUCUGCCCAACUUUUUCCAGCACGUCACAUGUCCGACGAGGGGAGACAACACUCUGGACCACUGCUACACUCCAUUCAAGGAAGGAUACAUAGCCAAACCACUAUCGGCUUUUGGGGAGGCUGGCCACGACGCCAUUUUCCUCCUUCCAAAAUAUAAACAAAGGCUACAACGUGAACCCCCGGUAUCGCGAGAGGUCAGACGCUGGUCUGCCCAAUCAGAGGCCACACUGCAGGACGCACUGAGUGACAGAGACUGGGACAUGUUCCGCGAGAGCUCGGGUGACGUCGACGAGUUCACUGAAGUGGUUACGUGCUUUCUCAGCAAACUGCUAGACGAUACCAUCCCUAUGGUGACUGUGAAGGUUUUUCCUUAUCAGAAACCGCGGGUGGAUAAGUCUAUCCGGGAAGCUCUGAAUGCACGUAUCGCUGCGUACAACGAGGGGCUCAAGACCAGCGACAUGUCACCUUACAAAGCGGCAGCCUACAAGCUCAGGAAAGCGGUGAAAGCGGCUAAGAGGUGACACAGGGACAAAGUGGAGGGACAACUGUGUGACCGCGAUACCAGACGUAUGCAUGUGUGCAAGGACUGCGGACGAUGACGGAUUAUACUAGACGAGUGAAUACCGCAGCUGUUGCGGACUCUUCGCUGGUGGAAGAACUUAACACCUUUUGCUCGCUUUGAGGCUACUGGUACUAGCGCUAGCACGGUGGCUGAUGCCGGAGUCCUGACCAGCGUGGAGAACCGCCCCCUCUCGUUCUCGGAGCACGACGUAAGGAGAGCUCUGAGACGAGUGAACAGCAGGAAGGCAGCUGGCCCAGAUGGCAUUCCCGGGCGUCUGCUGAAGUUCUGUGCUGACCAGCUAGCCCCGGUGUUAACGACCAUAUUUAAUCUGUCCCUUGUCCACUCUGUCGUCCCCACCUGCCUAAAGAAGUCCACCAUUAUCCCUGUGCCCAAGAAGACCAACCCUGCCUGCCUGAACGACUACCGCCGUGUUGCCCUGACCUCCGUGAUGAUGAAGUGCUUCGAGAGACUUAUCAAAGACUUCAUCUGCUCAUCACUACCGGACUCCCUGGACCCCCUGCAGUUCGCCUAUAGCCCCAAUAGGAGUACUGACGACGCCAUCACCCAUGUCCUCCACUCCGCCCUUUCCCACCUGGACAUCGGCAAAGGGAACUAUGUGCGUCUGCUGUUUAUUGAUUGCAGCUCAACUUUCAACACCAUAGCCCCUCACAGACUGGUUACCAAGCUGGCGGAUCUAGGGCUGAGUCCCUCACUCUGCUCCUGGGUUCAUAGCUUCCUGACUGGCAGACCACAGGUGGUGAAGGUUGGUGCCCACACCUCCAGAUCCCUAACCCUCAAUACUGGAGCCCCCCCAAGGCUGCGUGCUGAGCCCUUUGCUGUACUCACUGUACACCCAUGACUGUUCAGCAUCUCACCAAUACAACAUCAUUGUGAAAUUUGCGGAUGACACAGUGGUGGUAGGCCUGAUCUCCAGCAACAACAAGACGGCCUAUCUGGAGGAGGUGGAGCUGCUGUCUUCAUGGUGUAAGCACAACAACCUGGACCUGAACGUCACCAAAACCAAGGAGAUGGUGGUCAACUUCAGGAGAGGGCGGCAGAGGAUCCAGUAUGCACCGCUCAAGAUCUACGGGAAUCCAGUGGAGAGAGUGAGCAGCUACAGGUAUCUCAGGGUGCUCAUCUCCAAGGACCUGACUUGGUCUUCACACACCUCCACCCUGGUGAAGAAGGCGAGGCAGCAUCUUUUCCACCUCAAGAGGCUCAGGAAAUUCAAGGUCUCCACCAAGCUGCUGAAAACUUUCCACACCGCCACAGUAGGGUCUGUGCUUUCUGCGAGCAUCACUGCCUGUUACAGCAGCUGCAGCUCUCAGGACAGAAAGGCCCUGCAUUGAGUCAUCCAUUGUGCUGAACGCAUCACCCGUACUGCACUGCCCGGCCUCCAGGACAUCUACACCCAGCGGUGUAGGUCCAGGUCAAGACGGAUUAUCAAAGACACUCACCAUCCCAACCAUAGACUAUUUGAGUGGCUGCCCUCAGGCAAGAGGCUUCGCUCCAUCAGAGCCAGGCCUGAGAGACUGAAAAGGAGCUUCUUCCCCCAGGCCACUCGGAUCCUGAACUCCUCAUAACACACACCCCAUAACGGACUUCUCAACACCCUCUGAACAGACUGUACUACAGAAGAAUAACUCACUGGUCACUUUACCUGUUUACCUCUGUUACCUCGUUUUCUUGGUACAUAGGAGUCUAUAUAUAUAUAUAUAUAUAUAUAUAUAUAUAUAUAUAUAUAUAAUUUUAAUUAUUUUAAUUUUAUUUUUAUUUUUACGGUUAUUUGUACAUAGGAUGUAUAUAGGAGUGGAUAUAGGAGUGGAUAUUUAUCUUAUUUCUAUUUUUCUCUAUCUCUUUCUAUAUAUUAUUAUUCUGUUUCUUUGGCACAACUGCAGACGUCACUUUCAUUUUACUGCCACUGUACCUGUACAUAUAGGCAUGUGACAAAUAAAACUUGAAACCUGAUUGACCCAGUUUUGUAGACAGCCUCUAGUGGACACUGAAGGAACUGCCCCUAUAAAUUGUAGAAAAAAGUAGGGAAACAUUCACAAUACCUCAUCAAUUAUACCGUGCAAAACAGUGAUGAAGGUAGAUCUGAAUUUGCUCAGUGGUUUUAAGAUUAAUGGGGUGUUACUGAAAAACUUGUGCAAAUAAUAUAUGAGGAGGUUUUCUCGACUGACAGCACUGAAAGGUUAAUUGAUUGACACUAAUAAAGAGGAAUCCUGACCUUGCUCUUUAAUCCCAAUUAGCUUCUCUUCAUUGUUCAAUGAAGCACAGUGAUUUUAAUUAACAGUUUAAUUAUUGAUAAAGCACCUGAUCAUGCUCUGUUAAUUCACUUAUUAAUGAAAAAACAACAGCAAACUGAUCGUUGCUUUUACUCAUCUUUCUCCGGCUGUCCCUCAUAAUAAUAAUAAUAAUAACUUUAUUUAUAUAGUACCUUUAAAACCAGAAGUUUACAAAGUGCUUUGACAACAGUUGCAAGCACAGAACAUCAGCACAUGAAAAUAAAUAAAAUAAAAACAAAAGCUCAGUUAAAAACACAGCCUCUGAAUUGAAGGCCAGUUUCAUUUUUCAUAAGAAACCCAGGCAAUACAAGAACCCUACAACAUAAAAUGAGACCAUGAGGACCAAAAUAAAAACAUAAAAUAGGAAGAAGAAGAAAAUGAAAUAGAAAAGGAUAUUAGAAAAGAGGAUAUUAAUAAUGAUAAUAAAAUAAUAAUGAUGGUAAUCUAAAUGACAAAAUGAAAUAAUAAAAAUGAACAGGAAAAAACAAACAAACAUUCAAAUCAAUAAAGGACCUAAGAGGUAAAAUAAGAAAAGAUUAUAAUUAAAAGAAAGUCUAAAAGGAUAGCAAGUUGAAAUAAGAUAGAGGUAAAAGAGAUAAAAGAAAAAGGAGAAAAAAGGUCAAAGACGGCAUCAUAUAAAAGCAAGUCUGUAAAAGUGAGUUUUUAAAUUUGACUUAAAAGACGUGAUUGUCUCUGCAUGCCUAAUCUCCUCUGGCAGGUCGUUCCAAAGUCGAGGAGCUGUGAUGGAGAAAGCUCUACCACCUUUAGUUUUGAGCCUUGACUUUGGAACGACUAGGAGGCCUUCGCCAGAGGAUCUGAGGCUGCGAGUUGGCUCAUAGGGUAUUAAAAGCUAUAAAAUGUAGCUCGGCGCAAGUCCUUUUAGCACUUUAAAAGUAAUCAAUAAAAUCUUAAAAUCAAUUCUAAAACUGACAGGAAGCCAGUGAAGGGAGGCUAAAAUUGAAGUGAUAUGAUGCCGUCUACUAAAACCAGUUAAAAGCCUAGCUGCUGCAUUCUGAACUAGUUGGAAGUGGGAGAGUGAUUUCUUGUUUAAACCAGGGAGGGGAGAGUUAAAUCAAAUCAAAUCAAAUUUUAUUUAUAUAGCGCCAAUUCACAACAGUCGUCAUCUCAAGACGCUUUCCAAAGAACAAGAGCAGGUCGAGACCACGCUCAUUGUUUGAUGAUCAAGAACCAACCUAAGAUGGGUUUUGGCCCAUCUCAACUAACAUGAGUAGCAGUGGCAAGGAAAAACUUCCUUUUAACAGGCAGAAACCUUGGGCAGGACCAGACUCAUGCUAGACAGCCACCAUGCCGCUGCUGGGUUGGGGAGGAAUGUAGAGAGAAGAGGGGAGAGGGGGAGAGGACAGGGGGAGGGAGAGAGACAGCAAGAUAGGGGAAAGGCGAGAGAGAAUUAGUACGGAGAGGGAGGGGGAGGGAGAGAGAGUAGGGAACGAGGGUGAUGAGAGAGAGACAGGAGGCAGCAGGAACAACAGCAGGAACAACGCAGGGGGGGGGGUCCCUGCAGCAACGGUCCAGAGAAGCCAAAGAGCCAAAGAGAUGGAGGAGCUCAGGGCCCAGGAUGGAUGCAGCUGGGGUCAGGCAGUUCCGCAGCAGACCGUUUGCAGCAUUAGUCCAGUGGCAGCUAAAAGACUCAGAGACACUCAGAGAGACAGAAAACUGGUCAGUGACUUAUAUGGGACAUAAAGAUCUAAAGAGGAGAUAGAGACAGAUUCUAGCUCAGUGUGCCAGAUAGCCCCGGCAGUCUAGGCCUAUAGCAGCAUAACUAAGAGCUGGUUCAAAUCAGCCCUGACUAUAGGCUUUAUCAAAGAGGAACGUUUUAAGUCUACUCUUGAAAGUUGAGAGUGUGUCUGCCCCCCGAACCUCGAUUCCGGUAAAUGAUUCCAGAGGAGAGGUGCCUGGUAGCUGAAAGCUCUUCCUCCAACACUACUUUUAGAGACAUUUGGUACAACGAGCAGACCUGCAGACUGUGAGCGUAACGGUCUAGAUGGAAAGUACGGUAUAACUAGCUCGUCGAGAUAUGAUGGCGCCUGGCCAUUAAGCGCUUUAUAUGUCACAAGGAGGAUUUUAAACUCAAUUCUAUAUUUAAUAGGGAGCCAGUGAAGAGAGGCUAAAACAGGGGAGAUGUGCUCCCUUCUACUAGUUCUAGUCAAUACCCGAGCUGCUGCAUUUUGGACCAGCUGAAGAGUCCUUAAUGACUUACUAGAGCAGCCUGAUAGGAGAGAAUUACAGUAAUCCAGCCUAGAGGUAACAAAGGCAUGGACUAGUUUUUCUGCAUCGCUCUGAGACAAUAUGUGUCUAAUUUUUGAGAUAUUGCGCAGGUGGAAAAAGGCUGUCCUAGAAAUUUGUUGAAUGUGGGAGCUAAAAGAUAAAUCCUGAUCAAAUACAACUCCUAGAUUACGCACAGUGGGGUUGGAUGCCAGGCUGAUACCAUCAAAUGUAGCUAAAUUACUAGAGAACGCCUCUCUAAGGUGUUUAGGACCGAGGACCAGAACUUCAGUUUUGUCUGAGUUGAGCAUUAGAAAGUUAUUGGUCAUCCAGGAUUUUAUAUCUUUGAGGCAGGCUUCUAACCUAGCAACCUGGCCUGCUUCCUCUGGCUUUAUGGAUAGGUAUAGCUGGGUGUCAUCUGCAUAACAGUGGAAAUUAAUCGAAUACUUCCUCAUAAUUUUACCCAGCGGAAUCAUAUACAGGGUGAAGAGGAUUGGACCGAGCACUGACCCUUGCGGCACACCGUAGCACACUUUGGUGUGUGCAGAGGAUUUAUUAUUUACAUUGACAAACUGGGAUCGAUCUGUUAGGUACGAUUUAAACCAGGAGAGAGCUGAUCCUGCUAUGCCUAUAGAUUGUUCUAGUCUCUGAAGCAGGAUGGAGUGGUCAAUUGUGUCAAAUGCUGCACUAAGAUCUAACAGGACUAGAACAGAGAGAAAACCAUUGUCUGAGGCCAUGAGUAGGUCAUUUGACACCUUUAGCAGAGCAGUCUCUGUGCUGUGAUGGGUUCUAAACCCAGACUGGAAAUCCUCUAAUAAACCAUUGUUAUGGAGAAAAUCACAGAGUUGAUUCGCAACAACUUUCUCUAGGAUUUUAGAAAUAAAAGGAAGGUUGGAUAUUGGUCUAUAGUUAGCUAGGGAGCUUGAGUCUAGAGUAGGUUUUUUAAGGAGAGGCUUAAUCAAUGCAGUCUUGAAAGACUGGGGAACAUAUCCUGUUAAUAAAGACGUGUUAAUCAUUUUGAGCAGGGACGUACUAAUCAAAGGAAGAGUUUCCUUCAGCAAUUUAGAUGGAAUUGGGUCUAAGAGACACGUCGAUGGUUUGGCUGCUAGCACCACUGAUUUUAACUCAGGAAGGUCAAUAGGUACAAAAUUACUAAGGUGCACCAGAGGCCUUAGGGGCUCCUCAACAAUUUUAGGGUUAUCUGAGAGAGAGACACUUGGUGGAGUCAAUAGGUUACUAAUUUUACCUCUUAUUUUUAAGAUUUUAUCAUUGAAGAAUGGGAUACAUGGUUCAGUGGUGCUCGGACAGUCUGUCAGCCUGGCUACAGUGCUGAAGAGAUAUCUGGGGUUAUUCUUAUUUUCCUCAAUAAGAGACGAGUAGUAGGUUGUCCGAGCACGUCGUAGGGCUUUCUUAUAUUUAUCGAGACAUUCCUGCCAGAGAAAACGAGCUUCAGCUGUUUUGGAGGAGCACCAAAUCCUUUCACAUUUUCUUAAUAACUGUUUCAGCUCACGGGUUUCAGCAUUAUACCACGGGGCUAGUCUCUCGCGUGUAAUAGUUUUCUGUCGAAGAGGGGCAACUGAGUCUAGAACUGAUCGCAGUGUGCCUGAGGUAUCAUCAACAAACUGGUCGAGUUGCAAGGGACUGAUGUUUAAAUAUGAGCUAUCAGUAAAGUUUUUCUCAACUACAGAAUUUAGAGCAGACGGAAUUACCUCCUUGAACUUAGUAACAGCAUUUUCAGACAACCUUCUAGUUAGCACGACUUUGUUGUGAGGAGAGUAACCUGAGAGCACAAAUUCAAAAGUUACUAGACAGUGAUCAGAUAAUAGAGGAUUUAAUGAGCUGACUAACAGGGCAUCAGUUUUGAGGCCAUAAGCCAGGACGAGAUCGAGAGUGUGGUUAAAGCAGUGCGUAGGUCUAUGUACACACUGUGUAAACCCAAUUGAAUCUAGCAAGGACCGAAAAGAAAUGCUUAGGCUAUCAUUUUCCACAUCUAUGUGAAUAUUAAAGUCACCGACGACGAUGACUUUAUCUGCGAGAAGGACUAAUUCGGAUAGGAACUCUGAGAACUCUGACAAAAACUCAGAGUAUGGGCUCGGAGGGCGGUAAACUAUAGCAAAUACCAGUGGUCUCAUGGACUUUGAGGCUGGGUGCGGGAGACUGAGAACGAGACUUUCAAAAGAGUUAUAAUCUAGUUUUGGUCUUGGGUUAAUUCUAAGACUGGAAUUGUAGAUAGCUGCAACUCCACCACCUCGGCCGGAGUCUCGAGGAAUGUGAAAGUUUAGGUGGCUAGGAGGAGUGGAUUCAUUUAAACUUACAUAUUCAUCCUUACGCAGCCAUGUUUCGGUUAGGGACAGUAAAUCAAUGCGAUGAUCAGAGAUUAGUUCAUUUAUUAACACAGAUUUUGAAUUUAGAGACCUUAUAUUCAGUAGGCCACAUUUUAUCUUACUAGUACUUGGUUCAGCUAUGUUAACAGUCUUAAUUCUAGUAAGGUUCUUGUUAUUUACUCCUUUUUUAAUUGAUCGGUUAGAAUUUGAGAGCCGAGUACGAGGGACAGACACAGUCUCUAUAUUAAAGUGACAGUAGCUAGGAGGCUGCUCUAACAAAAGUACAGAGGAACGUGUAGAGCUGUGGCUAUGCUCCCUGAUUUCUAUGUCAAGCUGAGAGUAGCUUGGAAGCUGCUCUGAAGGGAGUACAGAGGGACGUUUUACACUGUGGCUCUGCUCCCUGAUUUCUAUGUCAAGCUGAGAGAAGCUUGGAAGCUGCUCUGAAGGGAGUACAGAGGGACGUUUUACACUGUGGCUCUGCUCCCUGAUUUCUAUGUCAAGCUGAGAGUAGCUUAGAAGCUGCUCUGAAGGGAGUACAGAGGGGCGUUUUACACUGCGGCUCUGCUCCCUGAUUUCUAAGUCAAGCUGAUUGUAGCUUGGAAGCUGCUCUGAAGGGAGUACAGAAGGGCGUUUUACACUGCGGCUCUGCUCCCUUGUCUCUGUGUAUAAGUGGUAGUGGCUGGGAGGCUGCUCUAAAAGAGGCGCAGGGGGGCGUGUAAGACUGCGGCCCUGCUCCCUGAUCUCUGCUUUGAAUUGUCAGUGGUUCGGAUUAAUAAAAUCGGCCAGAUUUCUGGAUAAACGGGCCGCUCCAUCUCGGGUGGGAUGAAUGCCGUCCCGACUAAUCAGACCAGGCUUGCCCCAAAAUGACUUCCAAUUAUCAAUGAAGCUCACACCGUUUUGCGGACACCACCUCGACAGCCAGCGGUUGAAUGAUGAGAUACGGCUACACAUCUCAUCAGUUGUCUGAUCGGGCAGGGGACCAGAGAAAACUAUGGAGUCCGACAUGGUCUUGGCAUAUUCACACACCGAUUCCACGUUCAAUUUAGUGACUUCCGACUGGCGGCGUCGGGAGUCAUUUAUGCCGACAUGUAUUACAAUCUUACGGAAUUUACGUUUAGCCUUUGCCAGCAGUUUUAAACUACCUUCGAUGUCGCCCGCUCUGGCCCCCGGGAGACACUGAACUAUGGCCGCUGACUUCGCUAAUUUCACAUUUCGGACUACAGAGUCUCCAAUCACAAGAGCGUCAGGCUCAGCAGGUGUGUUGCUGAGAGGGGCAAAUUUGUUUGAAGUGUGAAUGUGGUGGUCUACCGUGGGCUUCUUAGGUCUACUGCUAUGCUUCCCUUUCACAGUGACCCAACCACUACUACAUCCCGGCUGCUCGGGAUUCGCCGGGGGGAGGCUAAGCUAGGCCGACCCGCACCGGCUACCGAGUCCUGGCUGGCUAUCGCUACACUAGCAUCGGUGCGGAGCCGCUUUUCUAACUCUGUAAUCCUCGUCUCCAGAGCUAAGAAUAAACUACACUUAAAGCAGGUAUCGUUAUCGUCUCUGAACAUCUGACACACUGAGCAGAAGCGAGCAGGAGAAGCAGGCGACCGGGGGGAAGCCAUCGUUAGCAAGUGUAGCUAAGAGAAGCUAAGCUAGGAGCUAAUAAAGUAAAUGGUCAGAGAGAUCGCCCGGAGUGGAGAUAAAAACGGUGCUUGGUGAAAACUAUCAGAAAUACUUACAGACUUUCUAAACAGACAGAUGUACUGAUAAAUUACAGAUAGAAAAUAAACCAAAACAGCAAGAGAGCGCUUUCAGGAGGAAACGAAACGCUACACACAGUUCAACAGCAAGGAAGGGAAUGAAGCAAUGCGCACGCUCACCAGUCCGGAGGAGGAGUCCAAAUAGUCCAAUAGGAGUUACAAUAGUCCAGUCUUGAGAAAAUGAAGGCGUGGAUUAUCUUUUCGAGAUCUGGUGGGGUGAGUAUCUGUUUAAUCUUUGCGAUAGAACACAGGUGAAGGAAACAGGACUGGACAAUCUUGUUGAUGUGGGUGGAGAAGGUGAGGUCUAAAUCGAAGGUUACUCCCAGAUUUCUGGCUGUUGGUUUGAUGAUUACUGAAUGUGGACCGAGACAAGACUGUAUGAGGAUAUGUAUACUAUUAGGCAGUCUCUGAGUGUGGCUCGCUCAAGAUCAACCUACCAUUCAAUGCUCAAAUCGGGGGACAUUUCCGGGGACAAUUUCUUGCCGGGGACAGCACAGGCAAAUCGGGGACUGUCCCCAAAAAUCGGCGGAUGUCUGGUCACCAUACCCUAAGUCUAGAUUUGUCUAAGCUGAUUGGAGAAUAGGUUCGCAGAACCCUAGUCCUUAACAAAGCAUACUGUUUGAACCUAAAGCAGUCCAAGCCUGUGUCAAUUAUAUCCCAGCAGUAUUAGCUGAAAGCAGUCUAAGCCUUUAUCAAUCUGAACCUUCAACAAACCUCAGCCAGCCCUUUGAGGUGUAAUAAUGAGAAAAGACAUUAGCCUACUCUUCGAAGUAGAGAGGAAGACUACCUGCCUGACCUUGACUGAAAUGAUUCUUAAGAAGAGGGGCUUUAUAGUUGAAGGCUCUGCCUCCAAUACUAUUUUUUGGAGAUUUUAAGUUGCACAAACAACUUAACGGGAGUGACUUGUUUAGGCGGGCUCAUAAGACAUUAUGAGCGCCUUAUAGGAUGGUGCCUGGUAGUGAAGAAGGAUUAUAGUUUUUCCAUUUUACAACACAGAUCUUAUUUGACGCCUGUGCAGAAAAGCAAAUACAGAGCAGAUGUGUUAAAUUUUUAUGAUGCUGCUGCUCAGGCUGCAGUGUUUGGAGGGGAUAAAGAAUUUAUUAAGUCCUACAAAUAACAAAUGCACGUGUACAUGUUUUUGAGACAAGGGGCUCUAUUUUGGUGCCUCGCCGGAGACGUGCCGCAAGCGCAGCGUCAGUCAGAUCCGCCGCGCUGACAAGGCGUUCCCAAGCACAUUUUGGUAUUUUGGUGAGCCGCACAGCCCGGCGUAAGUAUUCCCCCUCCCUAACUCAGCUCCUCCCAGCACCAUAAGUCGUAGACGGGGAGGAGAAAGGCCGUGAAGUGGGUUUAACACAGCCGAGACCUGUUUUCACCAAUCACAUAGGCUCCUCUCCUUGCCUUUAAAUCCGCUACAGGCAAGGCAUAUUACUAUUUUCAUGAAGUAGUCAAAGAGAUCAAGAGAUGUCUUAAGACAGUAAUGCCACAAGAUGGCGACAGAGGGCAGCUGCUCAACAAGUGUCCUCCACACUCUCUCAUAUGAGCACAGAUGGAUUUGGUGUGCGUAAUGUUGGACCCACUGGUAAGACAAACACCCUUUUCCACAAAUAAAGACACUCACAUAAAGUUGCAUAUAUUCAAACCUCACGUGACAAAGGUGGGUUGAGCGCAGAGAUCACAACAUAAACUCCAAAAAUGGCAUUAAAAUCGGAACCAUCUUUGCGUAAAUGACGCAUCGCGCUCCGUGGCCUGGCUCUGUCUUUCCUAGAUGUUGGCAUAUAAAAUAAAUUUGGCUCACAAAACUGAAUAUUAUAAUAUCCGUAUGUCGGCUUAAAGUAGAUAACGCAUCCGAGCACUGAAACAAAUCAUCUAUUCAGCUGCAGCAGCAGCAAGACGGACAGAGGACACGUAGACGUGUCCAGGUCGAGCUGUGCGAGAAAUAAGAGGAAGAGGAAGAAAGAAAAGGAGGGAGACGAAUCACAUAUCUUGUUAACUUCAUCAUGUGUGUCUAUUUACUAGAUAUUUAAUUUAAUUUGAUGCGGUUUCAGCUGUGUUGAUUCAGGUUGUGUGUCCAAACGCGUGCCAAACGCGCUCAUCAGAUCAGAUAUAGAUCAGAAUAUAUCGAUAUAGAUCUAAAUGUAUGUGCUGACUCAGAUUAAUAGUUGUUGAUGAUUAUUUAUUGCACUGAAAUGUGCCUGACACUGUGGAAACCUGCCGGUGAGGCAUCAGUGACGUAUGUCGAUACGCCGCCGGUCUACCAAAAUACUACUGGACGAGCUGCGUUCCGCCUUGCGCUGAAAGCUGACCAGGUUUGAAUCGGCGAGCUUUCAGCGCACUUUACACGCCGUU